rnacentral:rRNA from 1 species
GAUGAACGCUGGCGGCGUGCUUAACACAUGCAAGUCGAACGGAAAGGCUCCUGCUUGCAGGGGUACUCGAGUGGCGAACGGGUGAGUAACACGUGGGUGAUCUGCCCUGCACUUCGGGAUAAGCCUGGGAAACUGGGUCUAAUACCGGAUAGGACGAUGGUUUGGAUGCCAUUGUGGAAAGUUUUUCGGUGUGGGAUGAGCUCGCGGCCUAUCAGCUUGUUGGUGGGGUAAUGGCCUACCAAGGCGUCGACGGGUAGCCGGCCUGAGAGGGUGUACGGCCACAUUGGGACUGAGAUACGGCCCAGACUCCUACGGGAGGCAGCAGUGGGGAAUAUUGCACAAUGGGCGCAAGCCUGAUGCAGCGACGCCGCGUGGGGGAUGACGGCCUUCGGGUUGUAAACUCCUUUCGCUAGGGACGAAGCGCAAGUGACGGGACCUGGAGAAGAAGCACCGGCUAACUACGU